rnacentral:misc_RNA from 1 species
UUUAGGGCUCAAGUGGGUUCCACUUUUCCCAAGUCAGCAAGUUAUGUCUAUAUUUGCCUUUCAUUCAUCUUGGCAUCACAUUAGCAUGGGAAUACAAAGCAAAUCCAUUGGAUACGAUUGAAAGAAAUUAUAAUCUUGUGAACUAAAUUGAAAAAAUUAAAAGUCUAGGAUAAUUUUUUUUUAACAAAAAAAGGUGUAAAAGCUUCAAGAUCUUUUGAUGAUUACCUAUGCAUAACAACAUCCUCAAUGGAGUGAUAUGAUUUAUAUAUGUGUUAUGAAUGUCCAUCCAUUUGGCUAUCUAAGUAUCUAUACAAACAUACAUGCCUUGCAUGUACUGUAUCAAGUUUAUUAUUCUCUGAGGCACUAGGCAUGGUUAUAUCAUAUAUGAUGCAUGAAAUAAAUAUGAUUAUUAUUCCUUUUAUAUAAAAGAUGAAUAUAAGAAUUCAUUGUAUGGCUCUUAGAGGAUAAUGAAAUCAAUAAAAUUGAAGGAGAAUCCAUAAUCCAAAUGAACAAAUUUGGACUUGAAAAGAAUCAUCUUGAUAGAUGAUUCUUGAAGAAUGAUGGACAAAGGGCUCAAUCCAGAAUGAUUUUUUGGCAUUUUUAUGUGCCAUUUAAGCACCAUUUUGAUUAUUCUGACCACGGCAAUAAAUGGUGGUUUCUCUAGUCUAUAACUCUAAGACAAGUACAAGUUGAAGAAGCAAUUAUUUUCACACAAUAGAAUGCAUAAUGUUGACCUGAUGUGGCUUUUUAUAUCUAGAUCUUAAGUUUGGUUGAUUGCAAUGAAUUGGAUUGCAAAAUCUAAGGUUUAAGCAUAAGUUGCAUG